rnacentral:lncRNA from 1 species
UUAAUUACAUGCCGCAUUAGUCUACUGCACGACAUAUUUUGUUUCACAAGUUUCCUACUUUUUCAUGUUGCAAGAAAUCUCAUUAGAAUGAGUCAUCAGCUUUGGAUGGUAGCCAAUCUCUGAAAGGAGCUUAAACUAGGACACUAAACUAACAACCUAUUAAAGGAGUAUGGAAUUUUAACUUGAUUGAACUUUUAUCAAAUAAUAAAAAAUUUAGACAAACAAAAUCUAACAGCUCCGGUGCCUUAUCAGGCUGAAAUCUGGUCCAGUUACAUGCCACCCAAUUCAUCCAUGCCACUGUCCUUUUCCACUUACGCAAGCCAUCACAUUUUAUUGCAUCAAGCACCAAUACAAUGACAUUCAGGAACUAUAAUUAGAUCUAACAACCACAUAAAUAAUUUUCUUUAAUAGGCUUCCUUCU